rnacentral:lncRNA from 1 species
NNNNNNNNNNNNNNNNNNNNNNNNNNNNNNNNAAGCUGGAGUGCAGUGGUGCGAUCUCGGCUCACUGCAACCUUUGCCUCUGGGGCUCAAGCGAUUCUCUUGCCUCAGCCUCCCAAGUAGCUGGGACCAGAGGCAUGUGCCACCACACCCGGUUAAUUUUUUUUGUAUUUUUAGUAGAGACGGGGUUUCACCAUUGUUGCCCUGGGUGGUCUCGAACUCCUGAGCUCAGGCGAUCCACUCACCUUAGCCUCUCAAAGUGCUGAGAUUACAGGCAUGAGCCACCGCACCCGGCCAAGAGGAACGCUUUUGGCCUCCAUUUCUUCCCUCCACUUCAGCCUCUGCUUUGGCAGGCUCUGGGGUGGGAGUAAGCCUGUUCUCAGCUCCCCUUUACUAGGGACAGGUAAUUCCACUCUGGCUGCUUCUUGGAGAACAGAGUGGAUGAACUCAGUCCCCACCUCUCAGAGGGACCUAGUACAGAGCCCAGCCCCCACUCUGAGGAAGCCUUGGAUGGGCCAUUCCUGGCCCAGAGCCUGAGGCCAUUGGAAAGGGCCUAUAUCCGGAACGGGUGAAGGAGAGAGCCCGGGAGCCUCACUGUGGGUGGGAGGGGCGUGGUCAGCCCGCCUUGCCUCCUGGGGCAUCAGCUCCCAGCUUGUGCUGCACCCUCUGACCACAACUUUGUGGGGCGCCUGCUGUGUGCAGAAUCUACCCCGAAACCUAUAGCUUAGGAGAAGCCUGGGUAAGCUGCUAAUGGCUGGUAGUAUGGGUGUCCAAGGACCUGUUGGAGGAGCCUAGUCCAGCCCUACAUGUGUGACCCUUGGUGCCUGGCAAGGCAGGGGGGUAGGGAGCAGCCCUCGCACAGCCAGCUAGACUGUUUUGCUCUGGGGCCUGAGGAUUGGGGGGCCAGGGAAGCAACCAGGCCCAGCCUGGGGCCCUGUGAAGCGAUCUGCACUGCCCAGGGUCAGGGGGAUGGGGGGGUAGGCCUCACCCCCUGGAGCUCUGGGCCGGUCGCUGGCCGCGCCCCGCCGCAGCCCUCGG